UUAAUUAGAGCCAUAAUUUCGCGGCAUAUUAUUGUUAAUAAUAUCAUUAUAAUAAAUUUAUUAAUUAGA
rnacentral:tRNA from 1 species